rnacentral:tRNA from 1 species
AGCAGCGUGGCUUAGUGGAUAGAGUACAGGACUGGAAAUCAUAAGAUCCUGAGUUCUAAUCCUGGCUCUGCUA